GUCAACUCUGAAAUAGGUUGUAUCGCAAAUGAUUUAACCAAGAAAUGCAGGUGACAGUGCUGGCAUUGUUUAAGAACCAUUUGCAUGAUAAUACUAUCUUCAAAAUUAACAGUUUGUGAAAAGUCCUUUUUCUGGAGGAAACUGCUCUAUUUAGCUAGAGGAUUGAUUUCAUUAUGUUUUGGAAGAACUUGUUUCCUGUCAAAAACUAGAGUGCAGUUUUGUGUUCUUGCAGUUGUCUCCUGACUAGUGCGGUGUAGAUACCAUCCUUGCUCAGAAGAUCUUCAUGGGUGCCGAUUUCAGCUAUCUGACCAUCGGAUAUCACAGCAACUGUGUCUGCACUUUUCACAGUUGAAAGCCUGUGUGCUAUAACAAGAACAGUCCUACCCCUCAUUAGGGAAUCCAUGGCAUCCUGAACAAGGUAUUCGCUCUCUGCAUCCAGAGCACUUGUGGCUUCAUCCAAAAGUAAAAUGCUUGGAUUCAUCAAUAGUGCUCUUGCAAUGGCCACUCUUUGUUUUUGGCCUCCUGAAAGUCUCAACCCACGUUCACCAACCUCCGUUUGAUAUUUUUCAGGAAACUUUUCUAUGAAGUCAUGGGCAUUAGCCAUUUUAGCAACAGUUUCUAUGUCAGAAGAACUAGCCUUGCCGUUAAACCCAUAGGCGAUGUUCUCCUCAACAGAACAAUUGAAUAGAACUGGUUCCUGGCUCACUAUACUGACCUUUCUGUGAAGAUACUCAUGUGAUAUUUCCACUAGUGGAAACCCAUUUAGCAAGAUCUUUCCCUUGAGAGGAUCAUAGAACCUUUCAAUUAAGUUUGCUAUUGUUGUCUUGCCGCCACCACUUGGACCAACAAGAGCAACUUUUGAGCCUGGGUUCAGUUUCAACGUUAUACCCUUGAGUACCAGAUGACUUGGUCGAGAAGGAUAAGCAAACCAGACAUCAUCCAAUUCCACAUCCCCAUCAGGAUCACUAAUAGGACACUUAUCCCCAGAUUUUGGCAUGCUUGAGACACGAUCCAGGAGCUGAAAAACUCUCCUACUUGCCCCUGCAGCUUUCAUCGCAGUAGUAUACAAUCCUGACAAAGAAGAUACUGAAGAACCAACUGUGAGGCUAUAAAGAAUGAAGGAUGUAAGAGCGCCCGCGGUCAUGGAGCCUAUUAUUGUCAGGUAUGCCCCAUAAACUACCACUAUGAUCACAGAUAAAGUGGAUGCGGCAUUUAGUCCUCCAAAAAACAGACCAACUACCCUUGCUUGUCUGAGUCCCAGCUUCAGCGUCUCAUCAACUUUUUCCGAAUAAUUUGAAAUUGCAUAACUUUCUUGGGCAAAAGAUCUAACUGUUCGAAUGGCCCCAAAGGAUUCCUCAGCUAUGGAAGCAGCUACUGCAGCUGCAGCUUGAGUUGCAUGUGAAAGUUCACGAAGAUAGCGCCCAAACUUUCUUACAGCAACUGAAAUUAUUGGCACAACCACCAAAGCCAACAAUGUUAAUUUCCAUGAUGAUGUAAACAUGAAGGCAACACCAAUUAAGGCAGUUGUUACAUUACGGAGCGCCUCAGAAAGAUUGGUUGUUGCAGCAUUUUUUAUGACCUGGGUGUCCUCUGACAGCCUGCUGAGAAGUUCCCCUGUUCGAGUAACAUCAAAGAAGGCUAUUUCCUGGUUGAUUAGGUGGCUGAAUAAGUCCUUUCUCAAACGAGCGACAACUCUUUCACUGGCAGAAGCAAACAGCCAUGCUCGAAGUGCAGUGCACAAAGAACCAAUUACCACUAUCAGCACAAUAUCCAGUAUGGUGUUCUUGACUGCAUCUAAAGCUUGUGAUUGCUCUUCAGGAGCACUUGUAUCUCUUGACACAAUGUCUAUUAUCAUUCCACCAUAUUUUGGAAUCAGAAUACUUGAUGUGGAUGCUAUCA
rnacentral:misc_RNA from 1 species